rnacentral:rRNA from 1 species
UAGGGAAUCUUCCACAAUGGACGCAAGUCUGAUGGAGCAACGCCGCGUGAGUGAAGAAGGUUUUCGGAUCGUAAAGCUCUGUUGUUGGUGAAGAAGGAUAGAGGCAGUAACUGGUCUUUAUUUGACGGUAAUCAACCAGAAAGUCACAGCUAACUACGUGCCAGCAGCCGCGGUAAUACGUAGGUGGCAAGCGUUGUCCGGAUUUAUUGGGCGUAAAGCGAGCGCAGGCGGAAUGAUAAGUCUGAUGUGAAAGCCCACGGCUCAACCGUGGAACUGCAUCGGAAACUGUCAUUCUUGAGUGCUGAAGAGGAGAGUGGAAUUCCAUGUGUAGCGGUGGAAUGCGUAGAUAUAUGGAAGAACACCAGUGGCGAAGGCGGCUCUCUGGUCUGCAACUGACGCUGAGGCUCGAAAGCAUGGGUAGCGAACAGG